rnacentral:rRNA from 1 species
GAUGAACGCUGGCGGCGUGCCUAAUACAUGCAAGUCGAGCGAACAGACGAGGAGCUUGCUCCUCUGACGUUAGCGGCGGACGGGUGAGUAACACGUGGAUAACCUACCUAUAAGACUGGGAUAACUUCGGGAAACCGGAGCUAAUACCGGAUAAUAUAUUGAACCGCAUGGUUCAAUAGUGAAAGACGGUUUUGCUGUCACUUAUAGAUUGAUCCGCGCCGCAUUAGCUAGUUGGUAAGGUAACGGCUUACCAAGGCAACGAUGCGUAGCCGACCUGAGAGGGUGAUCGGCCACCCUGGAACUGAGACACGGCCCAGACACCUACGGGAGGCAGCAGUAGGGAAUCUUCCGCAAGGGGGGAAAGCCUGACGGAGCAACGCCGCGUGAGUGAUGAAGGUCUUCGGAUCGUAAAACUCUGUUAUUAGGGAAGAACAAAUGUGUAAGUAACUAGGCACGUCUUGACGGUACCUAAUCAGAAAGCCACGGCUAACUACGUG